UACGUAGGGGGCUAGCGUUGUCCGGAAUCAUUGGGCGUAAAGAGCGUGUAGGCGGUCCGGUAAGUCCGCUGUGAAAGUCGGGGGCUCAACCCUCGAAUGCCGGUGGAUACUGUCGGGCUAGAGUGCGGAAGAGGCGAGUGGAAUUCUUGGUGUAGCGGUGAAAUGCGUAGAUAUCAGGAAGAACACCUAUGGCGAAGGCAGCUCUCUGGGACGGUACUGACGCUGAGACGCGAAAGCGUGGGGAGCGAACAGG
rnacentral:rRNA from 1 species